GGCUCAGAACGAACGCCGGCGGCGUGCCUAACACAUGCAAGUCGAACGGAUUUGAGGGGCUUGCUCCUCAAGUUAGUGGCGCACGGGUGAGUAACGCGUAGAUAAUCUGCCUGAUGAUUCGGGAUAACACUUCGAAAGGGGUGCUAAUACCGGAUAAGCCCACGUGGUCUUUGGAUCGUGCGGGAAAAGGGGGGGACCUUCGGGCCUUCUGUCAUCAGAUGAGUCUGCGUACCAUUAGCUAGUUGGUAGGGUAAUGGCCUACCAAGGCUACGAUGGUUAGCUGGUUUGAGAGAAUGAUCAGCCACACUGGAACUGAGACACGGUCCAGACUCCUACGGGAGGCAGCAGUGGGGAAUUUUGCGCAAUGGGCGAAAGCCUGACGCAGCAACGCCGCGUGAGUGAUGAAGGCUUUCGGGUCGUAAAGCUCUGUCGAGGGGAAAGAAGUGUACGGGGGCUAAUAUCCUCUGUACUUGACGGUACCCCUAAAGGAAGCACCGGCUAACUCCGUGCCAGCAGCCGCGGUAAUACGGGGGGUGCAAGCGUUGUUCGGAAUUAUUGGGCGUAAAGAGCGUGUAGGCGGUUUGUUAAGUCUGAUGUGAAAGCCCUGGGCUCAACCCAGGAAGUGCAUUGGAAACUGGCAGACUUGAAUACGGGAGAGGGCAGUGGAAUUCCUAGUGUAGGAGUGAAAUCCGUAGAUAUUAGGAGGAACACCGGUGGCGAAGGCGGCUGCCUGGACCGAUAUUGACGCUGAGACGCGAAAGCGUGGGUAGCAAACAGGAUUAGAUACCCUGGUAGUCCACGCCGUAAACGAUGAGAACUAGGUGUUGCGGGUAUUGACCCCUGCAGUGCCGCAGCUAACGCAUUAAGUUCUCCGCCUGGGGAGUACGGUCGC
rnacentral:rRNA from 1 species